AAUGGUUUAGUUUCAGGAACAGGUUUUGUGCGCCGAUGUUCACGCUGGGAGAGCUACGUUCCUACGACCUUGCUGCCGAAAUACAAAGACAAGAAUGAAGCAAAGAUUGGAAUUGUAUCCGGGUUCUGCAGACGGAGACGGCAAAGAGGAGUGGAUGGAACAAAAGCUUCAACACCAGCACGGAUCCUGAACGAGAAGUCC